rnacentral:rRNA from 1 species
GUACACUCCUGCGGGAGGCAGCAGUGGGGAAUUUUGGACAAUGGGCGAAAGCCUGAUCCAGCAAUGCCGCGUGAGUGAAGAAGGCCUUCGGGUUGUAAAGCUCUUUUGUCAGGGAAGAAACGGUGAAAGCUAAUAUCUUUUGCUAAUGACGGUACCUGAAGAAUAAGCACCGGCUAACUACGUGCCAGCAGCCGCGGUAAUACGUAGGGUGCAAGCGUUAAUCGGAAUUACUGGGCGUAAAGCGUGCGCAGGCGGUUUUGUAAGUCUGAUGUGAAAUCCCCGGGCUCAACCUGGGAAUUGCAUUGGAGACUGCAAGGCUAGAAUCUGGCAGAGGGGGGUAGAAUUCCACGUGUAGCAGUGAAAUGCGUAGAUAUGUGGAGGAACACCGAUGGCGAAGGCAGCCCCCUGGGUCAAGAUUGACGCUCAUGCACGAAAGCGUGGGGAGCAAACAGGAUUAGAAACCCUGGUAGUCCCA